rnacentral:rRNA from 1 species
AGUGAACGCUGGCGGUAGGCCUAACACAUGCAAGUCGAACGGCAGCACAGUAAGAGCUUGCUCUUACGGGUGGCGAGUGGCGGACGGGUGAGGAAUACAUCGGAAUCUACUUUUUCGUGGGGGAUAACGUAGGGAAACUUACGCUAAUACCGCAUACGACCUACGGGUGAAAGCAGGGGAUCUUCGGACCUUGCGCGGUUGAAUGAGCCGAUGUCGGAUUAGCUAGUUGGCGGGGUAAAGGCCCACCAAGGCGACGAUCCGUAGCUGGUCUGAGAGGAUGGUAGCCGACAUGAGAGGUUGAACACGGACCAUACUCCUACGGGAGGCACCAGUGUGGUAUGUUAGACAGCGGGGGCAAGUAUUAUCCAGUGAUACCGAGUCUGUGACGAAGACCUUGCGGUUGUGAAGCCGGCUUUUGGGGUAUGAACCGCAGUCGCCUAAUACGACGCUGUUGUGACGGUACCCGAUGAAUAAGCACCGGCUAACUACGUG